UGACACUAUAAUUUUCUGUAUGUCUAUUAUAACUUAACCAAAAAGUUUUUUAAAACCUAACUGAGCUAGGCAAAGUGGCACUUGCCCAUAAUUCCAGAUACUUUGGAGGCUGAGGCAGAAGAGUUGAAAAUUCAGGGCCAGCCUGGACAAUUUAGCAAGACUCUGUCUCAAAGGGCCAGAGGGGCUAGAGAGGGGCUACAGCUCAAUACUCCAUGGGUUUAACCUGAAGUACUGCAAAACAAACACACAAUCCUAAAAUACAGUAAACCAUAAGUAACUAAAUGUUUAUAAACAACAGACUAUAUAUCAUUCCAAAAAACUGGCAAUAAAACACAGUGUAGUCUCAUGGGAUUUCAGUAAUUCUGCACACUGCUGGUUUCAACACUCUUUNNUCAAAGCAGAACUACUAAGUGUUAUAUUCAGAUAUAUAGUGAAUUCACUAAAUUUUGGAAAUAGUCUUU
rnacentral:lncRNA from 1 species